AGUGGGGAAUAUUGGACAAUGGGGGAAACCCUGAUCCAGCAACGCCGCGUGGAGGAUGAUGCAUCUAGGUGUGUAAACUCCUUUUAUAAGGGAAGAUAAUGACGGUACCUUAUGAAUAAGCACCGGCUAACUCCGUGCCAGCAGCCGCGGUAAUACGGGGGGUGCAAGCGUUACUCGGAAUCACUGGGCGUAAAGGGCGCGUAGGCGGGUUGUCAAGUUCCGUGUGAAAUCCAACAGCUUAACUGUUGAACUGCUUGGAAAACUGACAGCCUAGAGUGAGGGAGAGGUAGAUGGAAUUGGUGGUGUAGGGGUAAAAUCCGUAGAUAUCACCAGGAAUACCCAUUGCGAAGGCGAUCUACUGGAACUCAACUGACGCUGAGGCGCGAAAGCGUGGGGAGCAAACAGGAUUAGAUACCCUGGUAGUCCACGCCCUAAACGAUGAACACUAGUUGUUGCCUUGCACGUCAAGGCAGUAAUGCACCUAACGGAUUAAGUGUUCCGCCUGGGGAGUACGGUCGCAAGAUUAAAACUCAAAGGAAUAGACGGGGACCCGCACAAGCGGUGGAGCAUGUGGUUUAAUUCGAAGAUACGCGAAAAACCUUACCUGGCCUUGAUAUCCCAAGAAUCUCUUAGAGAUAAGAGAGUGCUAGCUUGCUAGAACUUGGUGACAGGUGCUGCACGGCUGUCGUCAGCUCGUGUCGUGAGAUGUUGGGUUAAGUCCCGCAACGAGCGCAACCCUCGUGUUUAGUUGCUAACGGUUAGGCCGAGCACUCUAAACAGACUGCCUACGCAAGUAGGAGGAAGGUGAGGACGACGUCAAGUCAUCAUGGCCCUUAUGGCCAGGGCUACACACGUGCUACAAUGGGUAGGACAGUAAGAUGCAAUACCGCAAGGUGGAGCAAAUCUACAAAUCUACUCUCAGUUCGGAUUGUUCUCUGCAACUCGAGAGCAUGAAGCUGGAAUCGCUAGUAAUCGUAGAUCAGAACUGCUACGGUGAAUACGUUCCCGGGUCUUGUACUCACCGCCCGUCACACCAUGGAAGUUGAUUUCACCCGAAGCGGGGAAGCUAAAAUAGCUACUCUCCACGG
rnacentral:rRNA from 1 species